AUUGAACGCUGGCGGUAUGCCUUACACAUGCAAGUCGAACGGUAGAGGGGCAACCCUUGAGAGUGGCGAACGGGUGAGUAAUACAUCGGAACGUGCCCAGUCGGGGGGGAUAACGUAGCGAAAGCUACGCUAAUACCGCAUACGACCUGAGGGUGAAAGCGGGGGAUCGCAAGACCUCGCGCGAUUGGAGCGGCCGAUGGCAGAUUAGGGAGUUGGUGGGGGAAAGGCCUACCAAGCCUGCGAUCUGUAGCUGGUCUGAGAGGACGACCAGCCACACUGGGACUGAGACACGGCCCAGACUCCUACGGGAGGCAGCAGUGGGGAAUUUUGGACAAUGGGCGAAAGCUUGAUCCAGCCAUACCGCGUGCGGGAAGAAGGCCUUCGGGUUGUAAACCGCUUUUGUCAGGGAAGAAAUCUUCUGGGUUAAUACCUCGGGAGGAUGACGGUACCUGAAGAAUAAGCACCGGCUAACUACGUGCCAGCAGCCGCGGUAA
rnacentral:rRNA from 1 species